rnacentral:tRNA from 1 species
UGGCUCAGUGGUUAAGAGCACUGACUGCUUUUCCAGAGGUCCUGAGUUCAAAUCUCAG